rnacentral:tRNA from 1 species
GCUCCGGUGGUGGAACUGGCAUACACAGCAGACUUAAAAUCUGCCGCCCGAAAGGGAUUACGGGUUCAAUUCCCGUUCGGAGCACCA